CCCAAAACCCGUGUCUGUUUUUCAGCUUCUAUGACCUGGGGCCUGUGAGACUUUUGGCAAUGCAGCCACACCUGUCUGGAGUGGAUUUAUAGGCUACAUGAGCAGGGAUCAUCUGAUGGAAGCUCAACCAUUACAGAAGAACCAUCUCCUUCCUAGGACAGAAGCAAAGGAGUAUCACAGAAUCAUGGAAUGAUUUGGGUUGGAAGGGACUUCAAACACCAUCUUGUUCCAACUCCCCUGCCAUGGGCAGGGACACCUUCCACUAGCCCAGGUUGCUCCAGCCUGGCCUUAGACCCUUCCAGGGAUGGAGCAGCCACAGCUUCUCUGGGCAACCUGUGCCAGGGCCUCCCCACCCUCCCAGGGAAGAAUUCAUUCCUAACAUCCAAUAUAUCUUUUUCUUAUUUCUGACCUGAGUUCGACUUGCAAUCACCUCAAAUAUACCUGAUCAAUACCCAGAGUUGUUCAUAUUUUGCUGUGUAAAGUUGCAUUUCAACUUAGAGGUGCAAUACUGCAUUAGGAGUUAAAGCUCCCUGGAUCUCCCAGACCCACAAUCCACAACAACAGUCCAAUCAAACGACCUUUGGUGGGUCAGCAAGAAAGAAAAGGAAAGUCAAGACAAGUGGAAGAUAUUUCAUACAGGAGGAUAAAUAAUGCUGCUUAAAAUGGUGUACCAUCUUUUUUGACAAAGUGACAUGAAGUUAAAACAAUUAAUCACUUCAAGUCUAAUGUGAGUUCAUUGUACUUUGGAUUCAACAGCCACAAAUAACCCAAAAGUCACUCAUUGGACAUGCAAGUCCAUCUGAAGAGAUUUAGGCAAGUCCACCCCAUCUGUGACUGCAGGUGUGGAGAAGAGAGCGUAGAAGGAGUUGGUAGGAGUGAAUUCUUAUCAAUAUGAUGAAUUAUGGUGCAGUCACUGAUCAGGAAUUCAGAAAGUUGCAGCAUCUCCCCUCUUCCAGCCCCAAAAUCCCCCUGAAGCCCCCAGGAGUGGGGUCAGCACCACCCUGGACACAGGGAAGAGCUCUCAGAAGGAUUUUCAUCCAAACCAGUGUCCCCGUGCACGAAAAAAAUCGCAGCUGAAAGAUGUUUUUUCAUGCAGUGAAUUCACCAGCUGUAAACAGAGAGCAGAGUCGGGACCAGGAGGAAGCAAGUAAAUCUUAUGUUACACUGGCACAAGUUUACUGUUUACAGGGUUUGUUAUUAAUGGUUUAGGGAGUAUAUUUAUUAAAUAAAUUAAAAUAGUUGUGGAGUUUAUACUUUUUAUUUUAGUUUCCCUCGAGUGUGUUUUCUAAGCGAACACCUAAAAGUUAAAACUGU